rnacentral:rRNA from 1 species
UACGAAGGGGGCUAGCGUUGCUCGGAAUUACUGGGCGUAAAGCGCACGUAGGCGGCUCUUUAAGUCGGGGGUGAAAUCCUGGAGCUCAACUCCAGAACUGCCUUCGAUACUGUAGAGCUUGAGUUCGGGAGAGGUGAGUGGAACUGCGAGUGUAGAGGUGAAAUUCGUAGAUAUUCGUAAGAACACCAGUGGCGAAGGCGGCUCAGCUGGCCCGUACUACUCGUGAGGUGCCGAAAG